AUUGAACGCUGGCGGCGUGCUUAACACAUGCAAGUCGAGCGAUGAAGCUCCUUCGGGAGUGGAUUAGCGGCGGACGGGUGAGUAACACGUGGGUAACCUGCCUCAUAGAGGGGAAUAGCCUUUCGAAAGGAAGAUUAAUACCGCAUAAGAUUGUAGCUUCGCAUGAAGCAGCAAUUAAAGGAGUAAUCCGCUAUGAGAUGGACCCGCGUCGCAUUAGCUAGUUGGUGAGGUAACGGCUCACCAAGGCGACGAUGCGUAGCCGACCUGAGAGGGUGAUCGGCCACAUUGGGACUGAGACACGGCCCAGACUCCUACGGGAGGCAGCAGUGGGGAAUAUUGCACAAUGGGGGAAACCCUGAUGCAGCAACGCCGCGUGAGUGAUGACGGUCUUCGGAUUGUAAAGCUCUGUCUUCAGGGACGAUAAUGACGGUACCUGAGGAGGAAGCCACGGCUAACUACGUGCCAGCCGCCGCGGUAAUAC
rnacentral:rRNA from 1 species